GGGAAAAUGGCACGUUUGGUCACCCUAAUAAUAAUGUGAAGGACAAAUGCAAUGAAUGCAUCAAAUGCAACAUGCAGCUUCUGCUCAGGUGGAGAAAGGAUAGGCUAACUAAGCUAAGUUACACGUUGCAGCAGAGAAAAAAAAAUCACCAAACUUGUAGCAAAACUAAUUUGGAUAUUAAUUAUUCAAGUCAAGUCUACACUAUUCUCGCUAAAUUCACGCUGAUUGUUGUGUCUCAGUCCAGGAAGGUCAUUGAGAAUCAGACUCAGGUUGAGUAGAUCUCAAACUUCAGCAGUAACUAUGCUCGGACAAGCCGUGCGACGCUUCGCCACCUCUGCGGUUCGCUCCAGUCACUAUGCGGAGGGACCAGGAAAGAACUUGCCAUUCUCUGUAGAGAACAAGUGGAGGCUUCUUGGCAUGAUGGUGCUGUUCUUUGGCAGUGGAUUCGCCUUCCCAUUCAUUGUUGUCAGGCAUCAGAUCCUGAAGAAGUGAAGCUCCUUCCAGCCACACAUUGUCAGUGUGAUUCUUGUGCAACACAGCUCUCAGUUUCUUCUGGUGUGGAUCCUGUAAUGUUAUUGUAAAUAAAAUGACCAAUGAC
ensembl:lncRNA